UACGGGGGGGGCAAGCGUUGUUCGGAAUUACUGGGCGUAAAGGGCUCGUAGGCGGCCAACUAAGUCGGAUGUGAAAUCCCCAGGCUUAACCUGGGAACUGCAUCCGAUACUGGAUGGCUUGAAUCCGGGAGAGGGAUGCAGAAUUCCAGGUGUAGCGGUGAAAUGCGUAGAUAUCUGGAGGAAUACCGGUGGCGAAGGCGGCAUCCUAGACCGGCAUUGACGCUGAUGAGCGAAAGCUAGGGGAGCAAACGGG
rnacentral:rRNA from 1 species